ACUUAAGCAUAUCACUCAGUGGAGGAAGCGCAAGCAACCGCGAUUGCCCCAGUAACGGCGAGUGAAAUGGCCUUGGACCCCGGCGUCCCUCCCCGAAAGGUGGUUCUGUGACGAUCCGACCGACCGGCUCUCGGUCGGAUCCCUUCCCCCUUCCCCAGAGAAGCGAAUGCUGUGGGCCCCGUUGGAGCGAGCGGCGGUUCCGCCCUGGGUCCGGGUCCCGCGCCCGGAAGCCACACACCCAAGGCCCGGAACGGUCCACCACGGAGGGCCACCGUCCCGUACGAUCCCCAGUCGAUCCCAUCGCGCGCGGUGGGCCCGCCCAAGGGUACCGUGUCUCGUCUCGCAUCCAGGGGUAGAGCGGCUUGGGACUGCAGUUUGACGCGCGAGGUGUAUCCCUCGCAAGGCAGCAUACCGACGCGGGACCGACAGCGCACAAGUAGAGUGAUUGAAGGAUGCAAAGGACUUUGCAAAGAGGGUUAAAGAGUCCCCGAAGCCGCGGCGGGAGCGGCGGCGCGCGGCGCUGUGGAGACCCCAACGCGGGUGCGGGGGGGUGGGGGAACCGGCCCCUCUCGGGUGCGCGUGGGUGCGGCAAAGGCCACCGUGCGGCGACGCAGGCCCACCGCCCCCGCCCCCACCGCCACCGCCACCCCCCAACCCCACACCGCACCACGCGUACACCCUGGCAAAGACA
rnacentral:rRNA from 1 species